ensembl:misc_RNA Metazoa_SRP Metazoan signal recognition particle RNA
GCCAGGUGUGGUGAUGCACACCUGUAAUCCCAGCUACUUGGGAGGCUGAGGCAGGAGAAUCACUUGAACCCAGGAGGCAGGGGUUGCAGUGAGCCAAGAUAGUGCCACUGCACUCCAGCCUGGGUGACAGAGCGAUCACCCUCUC